AUUGAACGCUGGCGGAAUGCUUUACACAUGCAAGUCGAACGGCAGCACGGGAGCUUGCUCCUGGUGGCGAGUGGCGAACGGGUGAGUAAUAUAUCGGAACGUACCCGGCAAUGGGGGAUAACGUAGCGAAAGUUACGCUAAUACCGCAUAUGCCCUGAGGGGGAAAGUGGGGGAUCGCAAGACCUCACGUUGUCGGAGCGGCCGAUAUCAGAUUAGCUAGUUGGUGGGGUAAAGGCCCACCAAGGCGACGAUCUGUAGCUGGUCUGAGAGGACGACCAGCCACACUGGGACUGAGACACGGCCCAGACUCCUACGGGAGGCAGCAGUGGGGAAUUUUGGACAAUGGGGGCAACCCUGAUCCAGCCAUGCCGCGUGAGUGAAGAAGGCCUUCGGGUUGUAAAGCUCUUUCGGACGGAAAGAAAUCGCCAUUUCUAAUACAAGUGGUGGAUGACGGUACCGUCAUAAGAAGCACCGGCUAACUACGUGCCAGCCGCCGCAGUAAAAC
rnacentral:rRNA from 1 species